UCUGACACAGGUGCUGCAUGGCUGUCGUCAGCUCGUGUCGUGAGAUUGUUGGGUUAAGUCCCGUAACGAGCGCAACCCUUGUCCUUAGUUACCAGCACGUUAUGGUGGGCGACUCUAAGGAGACUGGCCGGUGACGAAACCGGAGGAAGGUGGGGAUGACGUCAAGUCAUCAUGGCCCUUACGGCCAGGGCUACACACGUGCUACAAUGGUCGGUACAGAGGGUUGCCAAACCGCGAGGUGGAGCUAAUCUCACAAAACCGAUCGUAGUCCGGAUCGCAGUCUGCAACUCGACUGCGUGAAGUCGGAAUCGCUAGUAAUCGUGAAUCAGAAUGUCACGGCGAAUACGUUCCCGGGCCUU
rnacentral:rRNA from 1 species